rnacentral:miRNA from 2 species
AUAAGACGAACAAAAAGUUUGU